rnacentral:rRNA from 1 species
GCAGUUCGACGAUGACCCGGUGCUUGCACCGGUGAUUAGUGGCGAACGGGUGAGUAACACGUGAGUAACCUGCCCUUAACUCUGGGAUAAGCCUGGGAAACUGGGUCUAAUACCGGAUAUGACUCCUCAUCGCAUGGUGGGGGGUGGAAAGCUUUAUUGUGGUUUUGGAUGGACUCGCGGCCUAUCAGCUUGUUGGUGAGGUAAUGGCUCACCAAGGCGACGACGGGUAGCCGGCCUGAGAGGGUGACCGGCCACACUGGGACUGAGACACGGCCCAGACUCCUACGGGAGGCAGCAGUGGGGAAUAUUGCACAAUGGGCGCAAGCCUGAUGCAGCGACGCCGCGUGAGGGAUGACGGCCUUCGGGUUGUAAACCUCUUUCAGUAGGGAAGAAGCGAAAGUGACGGUACCUGCAGAAGAAGCGCCGGCUAACUACGUGCCAGCAGCCGCGGUAAUACGUAGGGCGCAAGCGUUAUCCGGAAUUAUUGGGCGUAAAGAGCUCGUANGCGGUUUGUCGCGUCUGCCGUGAAAGUCCGGGGGCUCACUCCGGAUCUGCGGUGGGUACGGGCAGACUAGAGUGAUGUAGGGGGAGACUGGGAAUUCCUGGUGU